CCUCCCAAAGGUUCCCUCACAUCCCCAAACAGCACCAGCAACUGAGGACCAAAUUUUAAACACAUGAGCCUAGGAGAGACAUUCCUCAUUCAAACCACCACACAUUUACUCACAGCCGGUCUCACGCCAGGUACUGUGGAAAGGGCCGCAGUUCAGAAGAUAGAUGCUGCAAGGCCCCUGCUCUAAGGCACAAAACGGCACCUUUGCAGCUCAGUUGGGGCCACGUGACUGGCUGUAGACCAAUGGGAAGAAGCCUGGAUCUCUGAGUUACAACAUGGACCAAAGACACCUGCUUGCUUGGCAGUCAUCAGACAAUGAUAUGUAACUGGUAAAGUUCUCAAAAGAAAGAUUCAAGGUGAAACAACCAUGUAAAGUUAACCCAUGAUGCAAACCAAGGAUGGAGGG